rnacentral:rRNA from 1 species
GACGAACGCUGGCGGCGUGCUUAACACAUGCAAGUCGAACGGAAAGGCCCUGCUUUGGUGGGGUGCUCGAGUGGCGAACGGGUGAGUAACACGUAAGUAACCUGCCCGUGACUGGGGGAUAACUUUAGGAAACGGUGGCUAAUACCGGAUAGCAGUACCUGCCGCAUGGUGGGGGUUGGAAAGUUUCGGUGGUUGGGGAAGGACUCGCGGCUUAGCAGCUUGUGGGUGGGGUAGUGGCUUACCAAGGCUUUGACGGGUAGCCGGCCUGAGAGGGUGACCGGCCACAUUGGGACUGAGAUACGGCCCAGACUGCUACGGGAGGCAGCGGUGGGGAAUAUUGCACGAUGGGCGGAAGCCUGAUGCAGCAACGCCGCGUGCGGGAUGACUGCCUUCGGGUUGUAAACCGCUUUCGCCUGUAACGAAGCGUGAGUGACGGUAAUGGGUAAAGAAGCACCGGCUAACUACGUG